UGCUCAUUUAGCCGCAGCAAUGCAACACAAACCCACAACUGAGAGUGCUGAACCUCAACGACAACACUUUCAACCAAGAGAGGAGCAAUCGCCAUGGCUCAGGCAUUGAAACACCUGCGCAAUGUGCAGGUGAUCAAUUUUGGUGACUGCCUUGUUCGGUCUGAAGGCGCCAGUGCCAUAUCAGAGACCCUGAGAGAAGGACUGCCAAUUCUCAAGGAGCUGAAUCUAUCUUUUGGGGAAAAUCACUAAGGACGCUGCGCUAGAAGUGGCUCGAUCCGUCCAGCAUAAAGAUCAGUUAGAAAAACUUGACCUGAAUGGUAACAGUCUGGGUGAAGAUACGGCUGUGAAAAUCUGCGAGAGGU